UCCCGGCCCGUCCCGUGAGGCGGCGCGGCAGCAUGGAGGGCCGGCUGCCCUACGAUGACUUCCCGGUGGUGUUCCUGCCGCCCUACGAGAGCCCGCCCGCCUGGGUGCCGCCGCAUGAGAGGGUGUACCACCCCGACUACAACAACGAGCUCACCCAGUUCCUGCCCCGCACCAUCGUCUUGAAGAAGCCGCCCGGGGCGCAGCUGGGCUUCAACAUCCGAGGAGGAAAAGCCUCGCAGCUGGGGAUCUUCAUCUCUAAGGUGAUCCCCGACUCAGAUGCACACAGGGCUGGGCUGCAGGAAGGUGACCAGGUGCUCUCAGUAAAUGAUGUGGAUUUCCAGGACAUUGAGCACAGCAAGGCUGUGGAGAUCCUGAAGACAGCCCGUGAGAUCACCAUGCGUGUGCGUUACUUCCCCUACAAGUUCAUAGAUAUAAUGGAGGGGGAGGAAGGUCAGGUCAAGCCAAACAAGGAUUCUUUAUAAAAUGGAAACUGACUCUCAAGUGAAGAAAGAAGAAAAACAGAGAGCAGAGGAAGAGACUUCAAACUUUCAAUGCCCUAAAAUAACAUGAAAUGAGUGGCUGGGGUGCAAAUACUACUUUAAAGCCAGCUGCUACCCAAGAGGGUAGCAAACACUGUCUCUACUUAGUGAGCCUUGCCUUUCCCUUCCAGAUUACCAGAGACAGAAGGAAAGAACUGUUCACUAGCAGGCAACUGUCUGCUGGGUUUCCAGAGGGGCCAUCCUGCUAAGGACUCUCCUUUUCCUCAACAUCUGAGAUGACAUACCGUGUUUCAGCUGUCACUGGAGGUACAACUGUUCUGUUGGCUGCACAGGCAUCAGCUGUUUCCUGCAUGGAGGGAUACCAAUGGAAUCUUAUUUAGUUGGAAGAUGGACAGGGCUUUAGUCUGUACUCCUUGAACUGGAUGUUGAAACAAGCUGUUGAAGCUGAUGUGCACGUGGGUACCAGAGGGCAGGUUCUCUGGCAAGAUCUGUGCUUCUCUUCUAGCACAACUUGAAUUAAAUGAGGGCACUGCUGGUUCUGGAUCCAACCCUCGUUACUAGAUACAAGGCAAGAGGGUAUGAGCAUGCUGGAGCACAGCACAGCCUUCGUCCUCCAAGAGAUCAACCUGUUCACUUUUCUGGUACCAUGAAGUUCUUUCCUUCUCUACUGUCCUACCUCUGCUACUCCCUACUGGGUUUACUUUGGACUCAAGAACAGGAGUAAAAUCCACUCAAACUCAGUUCACAUAUCUCACUGCACUAGUCUGCCAAGGCAGGUUUGUACCUCUGUGCUGCUUAGCCACCCCCCACACUACAGGACCGAGAUGCUCUCAGCAUGUUUGUGAACUGCUGUAGGUGCUUGACUGGGUUCCUCCCAGGGCAGCAUCGGCACGGUUGAGGGUUUCACGCACGGAACCUGCUUUCUUCACUUGACAUAGUCCUGUCGUGUGCUACUCCGCACGGUAGUACCACAUACUAAGUGGUAUCAGGACAGCCCUUGCGCCGUGGCUAUCUGUGUGGUGUUUUCUGCUUAUCUGUAAUAACUGAAAUAAUAAAAAGUACAGCAACCAGA